rnacentral:lncRNA from 1 species
AAAACUACCAGAAUUGAUCUGAAUAGUGUGCCCUGUUGUGUUGAUCCGAUCUACCCACUUCACUUCAAGUCAAUCUACAUAAAAAUAUUAAACACACACAAGUAAGCUUAUUGAAGCUUAGUAAGCUCAUAGGCAUAAAAACACAAAUCAUAUCAAAUAUCGUACACAAUCAUAUAUCUAUUAGUUUAACUAUUUCAUCCUCCAAAUCACAAUUUCAUUAAUAACUCAUUGGAAUAAUUUCCAUAUGGCUACUCACAAUUUAACUCCCUUAGGCCCAUUUCUCAUUUACUUCAUUCUCAAAUUAGGGAACAAUAAGGGAAUUGAGUGCUUCAUUAUCACAUUGCCAUAGUAAACUAUGGACUUUCACAUUGUUAUACAUCACACACCGAAGCCAUAGCCUUGCCAUGGUCUUACACGGUUCACAUAUCAUACCGAAGCCAUAUCCCAGACAUGGUCUUAUACGGAAUCACAUUAUCACAUUAUACCGAUGCCAUAGCCCAGCUAUGGUCUUAUACAGAGUCACAUUAUCACAUUGCACCGAUGCCAUAGCCCAGCUAUGGUCUUAAACGGGCGCACUUAUCACAUAUUUUUCGUCAAUUCAUCAGGGUCACAGAAUAGAAGCACUCAAAUCCAUUGUUCCUACUAAUUUGUACUUUUAGUUACACAUUAUUUAUUAAUUAAUGCAAAUUGAUAGUAUUCAUCAACAAUGAAAUACUUUAACAAUCAUAAGAUUUUCAUAUCAAAACAUUGAACUUUAGCAUAUGAACUUACCUGGACUAAUUUGCAAAAGUCGUAGAAAUUCAGGGACUAUUCUUGAAUUUUCUCCUUUCCACGAUUCAAUUCGUUUUCUUGAUAUGAUGUAAAAUAUGAAAAACAAGCUUUCUCCAGACCUUCUAUGGCGUUUUGGCUGAUAAAAUAUGAAGAGAUCUCUAGAUUCUUCAAUUUUAUUCUUAUUUUAUAUGUUAAAGUUGUAAAAUUUCCAAUUUUG